UACGGAGGGUGCAAACGUUGCUCGGAAUCAUUGGGCGUAAAGCGCACGUAGGCGGUCCUGUAAGUCGGGUGUGAAAUCCCGGGGCUUAACCCCGGAAGUGCAUUCGAAACUGCAGGGCUUGAGUACUGGAGGGGGCAGCGGAAUUCCCGGUGUAGAGGUGAAAUUCGUAGAUAUCGGGAGGAACACCAGUGGCGAAGGCGGCUGCCUGGACAGAUACUGACGCUGAGGUGCGAAAGCGUGGGGAGCAAACAGG
rnacentral:rRNA from 1 species